GCUUGUCUAGCUCAGUCGGUAGAGCACAAGACUUUUAACCUUAUGAUCGUGGGUUCAAGCCCCACGGUGGGCG
rnacentral:tRNA from 1 species